UCCUUCUUAGCUCAGUUGGUAGAGCGCGUCACUAGUAUGGAAUCAUCCUCUGGUAUGACGAGGUCAGUCGUUCAAGUCGGCUAGAAGGAA